rnacentral:rRNA from 1 species
GACGAACGCUGGCGGCGUGCUUAACACAUGCAAGUCGAACGGAAAGGCCCUGCUUGCAGGGUGCUCGAGUGGCGAACGGGUGAGUAACACGUGGGUGAUCUGCCCCUUACUUUGGGAUAAGCCUGGGAAACUGGGUCUAAUACUGGAUAGGACCAUGUUGUAGGUGGUGUGGUGGAAAGAUUAGUUUCGGUAAGGGAUGAGCUCGCGGCCUAUCAGCUUGUUGGUGGGGUAAUGGCCUACCAAGGCGUCGACGGGUAGCCGGCCUGAGAGGGUGGACGGCCACAUUGGGACUGAGAUACGGCCCAGACUCCUACGGGAGGCAGCAGUGGGGAAUAUUGCACAAUGGGCGCAAGCCUGAUGCAGCGACGCCGCGUGGGGGAUGACGGCCUUCGGGUUGUAAACUCCUUUCAGCCAUGACGAAGCCCUUGUGGUGACGGUAGUGGUAGAAGAAGCACCGGCUAACUACGUG